GGGGAGAAGGGUUGGCUAAGUCAAUUUCUAGAUAUUCUCUCAGGAAACCUUUGGAUCAAAUUCCAUCCAUCAGCUACUGACUUACCUGAAACUGGCUCACCUCCUCAGCUUUUCAACGGCUUUUGGUGCCGCUCUUUGGGUAACCUUCAUCGGUGGCAUCAUCAUGUUCAAAUGAUGAGGCGAAGGCAGAAGGUGGAGCGAGAACAGAACACUGGAAAUGAAGCUGGGUGCUCAAAGAACCAGGAAGUUGCUAAGGUUAAUCCAAAGCUUGCUGCAAUGAACAAGAAAUUUGGCAUGAUCCAGGUUUUUCAUCCCUCGCUAAUAUUAUGUCUUUUGGAAGCCUAGCCAUGCACUCUUGGUACUUAGCAGGAAAGAUGACUCUGUAAUUUGCACUUCAGGUGAAGGUUGUUACUGGCUAUGAAUUAAAGUGCCUUCUGAUUAUUCCCGGCCAAGCUAUAGUGGUGGAACCAGAAAUUGGCAUUUUAUUUUCUCUUAUAUAAAAAAAAAAA
rnacentral:misc_RNA from 1 species